UUAAAACUCAAAUGAAUUGACGGGGGCCCGCACAAGCGGUGGAGCAUGUGGUUUAAUUCGAUGCAACGCGAAGAACCUUACCUACUCUUGACAUCCAGAGAACUUAGCAGAGAUGCUUUGGUGCCUUCGGGAACUAUGAGACAGGUGCUGCAUGGCUGUCGUCAGCUCGUGUUGUGAAAUGUUGGGUUAAGUCCCGCAACGAGCGCAACCCUUAUCCUUUGUUGCCAGCGGUUCGGCCGGGAACUCAAAGGAGACUGCCAGUGAUAAACUGGAGGAAGGUGGGGAUGACGUCAAGUCAUCAUGGCCCUUACGAGUAGGGCUACACACGUGCUACAAUGGCGCAUACAAAGAGAAGCGACCUCGCGAGAGCAAGCGGACCUCAUAAAGUGCGUCGUAGUCCGGAUUGGAGUCUGCAACUCGACUCCAUGAAGUCGGAAUCGCUAGUAAUCGUGGAUCAGAAUGCCACGGUGAAUACGUUCCCGGGCCUUGUACACACCGC
rnacentral:rRNA from 1 species